rnacentral:rRNA from 1 species
AUUGAACGCUGGCGGCAUGCCUUACACAUGCAAGUCGAACGGUAACAGGUCUUCGGAUGCUGACGAGUGGCGAACGGGUGAGUAAUACAUCGGAACGUGCCUAGUAGUGGGGGAUAACUACUCGAAAGAGUGGCUAAUACCGCAUGAGAUCUACGGAUGAAAGCAGGGGAUCGCAAGACCUUGUGCUACUAGAGCGGCCGAUGGCAGAUUAGGUAGUUGGUGGGAUAAAAGCUUACCAAGCCGACGAUCUGUAGCUGGUCUGAGAGGACGAUCAGCCAGACGGGGACUGAGACACGGCCCAGACUCCUCAGGGAGGCAGCAGUGGGGAAUUUUGGACAAUGGGCGAAAGCCUGAUCCAGCAAUGCCGCGUGCAGGAUGAAGGCCUUCGGGUUGUAAACUGCUUUUGUACGGAACGAAAAGCCCUGGGUUAAUACCCUGGGGUCAUGACGGUACCGUAAGAAUAAGCACCGGCUAACUACGUGCCAGCCGCCGCCGUAA